AUUCGGUUCAUGCUCUUUUAUGUUUGGGGAUGCCAAUUUGUGGCAAUGCAUUGUGCUUAAGUUAUGUAAUUCUCAUAGUUUAUCCAUUGUGUUUGCUAUGAUUGUUUGGUCCUUCCAAUUAUGUCAAUUUUAAGGUAGUGGAUUGUGGUGUUGAUACUACUACUGUGUAUUCGAUUGUGUUACAUAGACUUACAAAAUAAACACUAGAGAAAUAGUCUGAGAUGUGCUGAUCGCGGUGUUGUCAAGCAAUUCUUCUGUAAUAUGUCAACCCCCAAGAUUUAAGAGAUCAUUCGCAAUUAAAAUCGAGGCCACAUAACUAGUGAGCAUAAUUUUGCAUUAUAAGCGUAAGAAAAACGUUUACAAAAAUAACAUAUAGAAAAAUUCACUUCCCACAUCUCAAAAUACCUAGAAAGUCCAUUUUACUAUUUAUAAAGUUGAAAAAUUUCUUUUCACCUUACUUCUUCAUUAACUCAUUCGAAACAUUCAAAACUUUUGCCAAAAAUUUCUAACAACUAGAAAUUUUUUGAAACAUAAGUGAGUUUUUGUGAACUUUCGAACUUUUAAAAUGCAAUUUUUCAACAAUAUUUUGAAUGUUUUGUUCAUUUUGAAACUUUUGAAAUACUAUUUUCGAGAUAUUUUCAAAAGUUUCAAAACAUGUUAAAAGUUCUGAAAUGAAAUUUUUUUUAGAAAAUGAAAUUAUCAAAAGUUUUGAUAAACAUGAAACAUUCGAAACUUCUAGAUUUAUUAGUUUUGAAACUUUCAUAAAUGGAGAAAUUAUUUGCACUAGUCCGCAAUGUAACCGAAAAAGUUCCACCUAAGGUAUCUAAUUGACGAAUGUAUAAGGCUAACCAUCCACCCUAUCCACAUCGCCGACAAGACACACACUCGAGUCUAGGCGAAGUAUGUUAGUUUAUUCACCAAUUUUGAGCAUUGUCAAGACUAUACAUAGAGUGCAUCGGCAUUGGUUGUGCUUAAUGACAAUCUCAGACAUCGAGCUAUUCAUGACACGAGGCAAUUUGGAGGAUAUAUAAGCAUGUUCCAGUGUUGGAUUUACAAGCACUUUUCUAAAAUCUAUAAGCGAGGGGACAAUGGAAGUGUACCUAAACAUACUCACAGAGCUUGUACGUGGACUGUCAAACAUGUUGUCGAAGGUGGAUUAAUAGUGUAUUGACUGACGCUUGAUGAUGUAGUAUUCACACAAUACAAUGAUGACUGGGUCAACUGAUGACAAUGGACUCGGGCUAUCUUUGUGGAUCCAGAGUUUCAAUCCCUUAUCUAUUGACUGCAUUCAAUGUGCGAUGUUCCUUUUGUGUCAACUAGUAUAGAUU